CAACCAGCAUCCAAACCUCGCAUGAGAC
rnacentral:sRNA from 1 species